rnacentral:rRNA from 1 species
GGGGGGCCCAUCUGGUGCCAGCAGCCGCGGUAAUUCCAGCUCCAANAGCGUAUAUUAAAGUUGUUGCAGUUAAAAAGCUCGUAGUUGAAUUUCGGGAUUGACGUGAUGGUCGUGCCUUACGGGGUAUGAACUGUUGCUGUUGAUUUCUCACCUUCUGGAGAAUCUUGAUGUCCUUAAUUGGGUGUCUUGCGGAUCCAGGACCUUUACCUUGAAAAAAUUAGAGUGUUUAAAGCAGGCAUUUUUGCUCGAAUACAUUAGCAUGGAAUAAUAGAAUAGGACGGCAUGGUUCUAUUUUGUUGGUUUCUAGGAUCACCGUAAUGAUUAAUAGGGAUAGUUGGGGGCAUUAGUAUUCAAUUGUCAGAGGUGAAAUUCUUGGAUUUAUUGAAGACUAACUACUGCGAAAGCAUUUGCCAAGGAUGUUUUCAUUAAUCAAGAACGAAAGUUAGGGGAUCGAAGACGAUCAGAUACCGUCGUAGUCUUAACCAUAAAGCUAUGCCGAGCUAGGGAUCGGAUGAUGUUAAUUUUAUUAAUGACUCAUUCGGCGCCUUAA